CCCUUAGAUGUCCUGGGCCGCACGCGCGCUACACUGAUGCAUUCAACGAGUUUUACCUUGGCCGAGAGGCCUGGGCAAUCUUUUGAACCUGCAUCGUGAUAGGGAUAGAUUAUUGCAAUUAUUAAUCUUGAACGAGGAAUUCCUAGUAAACGCAGAUCAUCAAUCUGCAUUGAUUACGUCCCUGCCCUUUGUACACACCGCCCGUCGCACCUACCGAUUGAAUGGUCCGGUGAAAUCUCGGGACGGCGGCUUGGUCGCUUGCGUCCGACUGCUGAAACUUGAUUAAACCAUAUCAUUUAGAGGAAGGUGAAGUCGUAACA
rnacentral:rRNA from 1 species